rfam:Pteropus alecto contig94994, whole genome shotgun sequence.
AGCUAUGGCCAUGCUACUCUGAACAAGCCUGAUCCCGUCUGAUCUCGGAAGCUAAGUAGGGUCGGGGCCUGGUUAGUACUCAGAUGGGAGACCACCUAGAAAGACCAGGUGCUGUAGGCA